rnacentral:rRNA from 1 species
UACGUAGGGUGCGCGCGUUAAUCGGAAUUACUGGGCGUAAAGCGUGCGCAGGCGGUUCGCCAAGUCAGGGGUGAAAUCCCCGGGCUUAACCUGGGAAUUGCGCUUGAAACUAGCGGGUUUGAGUGUGGCAGAGGGGGGUGGAAUUCCACGUGUAGCAGUGAAAUGCGUAGAUAUUCGGAAGAACACCAGUGGCGAAGGCGACUCACUGGACAUGUAUUGACGCUGAGGUGCGAAAGCGUGGGGAGCAAACAGG